GGGAAUGUAGCUUAGUGGUAGAGAGUUUGCCUAACACGCAUGAAUCCCUGGGUUCGAUUCCCCAGUACCA
rnacentral:tRNA from 1 species